GGGAAUGUGGCUUAGUGGUAGAGUACGUGCCUAGCAUGCAUGAAGCCCUGGGUUCGAUUCCUCAGUACCA
rnacentral:tRNA from 1 species